rnacentral:sRNA from 1 species
UGCGGCGAAGAAGAAGGAAGAAGAAGAAGAAACCA